rnacentral:rRNA from 1 species
GACGGAGGAUGCAAGUGUUAUCCGGAAUCACUGGGCGUAAAGCGUCUGUAGGUGGUCCAAUAAGUCAACUGUUAAAUCUUGAGGCUCAACCUCAAAAUCGCAGUCGAAACUGUUAGACUAGAGUAUAGUAGGGGUAAAGGGAAUUUCCAGUGGAGCGGUGAAAUGCGUAGAGAUUGGAAAGAACACCGAUGGCGAAGGCACUUUACUGGGCUAUUACUAACACUCAGAGACGAAAGCUAGGGUAGCAAAUGGG